rnacentral:rRNA from 1 species
CUUUACUGUAGCUUUGUAUUGGACUUUGAACAGAUCUGUGUAGGAUAGGUGGGAGGCUUUGAAGCCAGGUCGCUAGAUCUGGUGGAGCCAACGUUGAAAUACCACCCUGGUGUGUUUGAGGUUCUAACCCAGGUCCCUUAUCGGGAUCGGGGACAGUGCAUGGUAGGCAGUUUGACUGGGGCGGUCUCCUCCCAAAGUGUAACGGAGGAGUUCGAAGGUACGCUAGGUACGGUCGGACAUCGUGCUAAUAGUGCAAUGGCAUAAGCGUGCUUAACUGCGAGACUGACAAGUCGAGCAGAUGCGAAAGCAGGACAUAGUGAUCCGGUGGUUCUGUAUGGAAGGGCCAUCGCUCAACGGAUAAAAGGUA